rnacentral:rRNA from 1 species
UAGUCGGAGGUGUGUCUCGGACGGUCGGUUCGCCGCUUGUCGGUGCUCAACUGGCCGGUCCGGACGUCCUGCCGGUGGGGCUGUAAAAGGCCCCGUUAUCCUUCUUUGGUCCUCUUCACCGAGUGCCUUGGUGGGCCGGCACGUUUACUUUGAACAAAUUAGAGUGCUCAAAGCAGGCCGUUGGUCGCCUGAAUACCGUGUGCAUGGAAUAAUGGAAUAGGACCUCGGUUCCAUUUUGUUGGUUUUCAGAACUCGAGGUAAUGAUUAAUAGGGACGGACGGGGGCAUUCGUAUUGCGACGUUAGAGGUGAAAUUCUUGGAUCGUCGCAAGACGAACCGAUGCGAAAGCAUUUGCCAAGAACGUUUUCGUUGAUCAAGAACGAAAGUUAGAGGUUCGAAGGCGAUCAGAUACCGCCCUAGUUCUAACCAUAAACGAUGCCAGCUAGCCAUCCGCCGAAGUUCCUUCUAUGACUCGGCGGGCAGCUUCCGGGAAACCAAAGCUCUUGGGUUCCGGGGGAAGUAU